GCUUCUGGCACUCUCGGGUGAGUGAGUCUCCGUCUUUGGGGUUCAAGCCUGCGCCUCGCGGGCCCCAGGUUCCCACGCUCCGCUGUCGGGUUUUGGGGUCGCCCUGUAGGUUAAAACCCCGAACCUGCUCAUUCCUCUCGCGGCGUGGCCCCUAGACGUUCCCAGUCCCGUAGCUCCGAGAGGGUCUGGAGGUCUGCGUCCAUUUCGGAUUAAAAUCGUUCUGAAGUGGGUACUGGCCCCUACUUUUUUGCCUUCGCCCACACAAUAUGACCUCAGUGGGGGGAUGCGAGGAAGAUGAAGAAUUGUGAUGAUCCACUUCCUCUUAGUGAAUGACUGAUCUUACCUGAGAAAGAAACUCAGAGGAAGAGGAAAGAAGGAAGAGGAGGGAAUGGCUCUUUCUCAGGGACUGUUUACAUUCAAGGAUGUGGCCAUAGAAUUCUCUCAAGAGGAGUGGGAGUGCCUGGACCCUGCCCAGAGGGCCUUGUACAGGGACGUGAUGUUGGAGAACUACAGGAACCUGCUCUCUCUGGAUGAGGAUAAUGUCCUUCCAGAAAACGGUAACCACCCUUGUACAUCUUUACAUUUUUCCUUGUGAGUCUAUGCUUGUCUGAAUCCGAUCCCUGUUCUGAAAGGGGAGAUUGAAACUUUUUGAUUCAGAGUGGAAAUGCUUCAUAAUGUGGCAUAUAGACUUUAAACUUCCCCUUUCGUCAGAAGUUCUGCACGUAACCAGGUUUGACGAGUGGUGGUUCCAGAACAUCAGUACUUACAAAACCUUAUGGAAAACACUUUAAAGUAUCUGGUAUCAUGGGUUUAUCCCCGUGCCUUUGAGUCAGUAGUUUUUUCAGAGUCUGCAUAUUUAAAAUAAUCCCUAAGCUUUCAGAAGAAGGCAGUUAGUUGACUGAUUUAUUAAAUCGUUUUGGGAAAUCGUUUUCCAGACCCAUCUGUAAUAUCCUCUCUUCAUAGCUGAACAAAGGGCUGGGAAUGUAUCCAGGAAAAGCACAACACAC